GACGGGGAGGGGCAAGUGUUCUUCGGAAUGACUGGGCGUAAAGGGCCCGUAGGCGGUGAAUCGGGUUGAAAGUGAAAGUCGCCAAAAAGUGGCGGAAUGCUCUCGAAACCAAUUCACUUGAGUGAGACAGAGGAGAGUGGAAUUUCGUGUGUAGGGGUGAAAUCCGUAGAUCUAUGAAGGAACGCCAAAAGCGAAGGCAGCUCUCUGGGUCCCUACCGACGCUGGGGUGCGAAAGCAUGGGGAGCGAACAGG
rnacentral:rRNA from 1 species